rnacentral:rRNA from 1 species
UACAGAGACUGCGAGCGUUAUUCGGAUUCACUGGGCGUAAAGGGUGCGCAGGCGGCCGAGCGUGUGAGGCGUGAAAGCCCGGGGCUUAACCCCGGAAUUGCACCUCAAACUACACGGCUAGAGCAUUGGAGAGGGUAGCAGAAUUCAUGGUGUAGCAGUGAAAUGCGUAGAUAUCAUGAGGAAUACCAGAGGCGAAGGCGGCUACCUGGACAAUUGCUGACGCUCAGGCACGAAAGCGUGGGGAGCAAAAGGG